ensembl:lncRNA
GCUGAAUUAAAGUGGCAUCAUAUUGUGUUAGCUUUCUGCCCUGUUCGAGAAGGCAAAGCCCUUUGGAUGAGUUAUUUGUACAGCUGACACUGGCAUCUUGAUUUCCUUGUGUUUUUUGUGUGUCCUCUCCGUUCUCGGCCCGGCUGCUCCUCUCGUCUCUUCUCCAAGCAGGUCAGACGGGCCCGGCUGCUCCUCUAGUCUCUUCUCCAAGCAGGUCAGACGGGCCCGGCUGCUCCUCUCGUCUGUUCUCCAAGCAGGUCAGACGGGCCCGGCUGCUCCUCCUGUCUGUUCUCCAAGCAGGUCAGACGGGCCCGGCUGCUCCUCCUGUCUGUUCUCCAAG